AUGGAAAGCGUUAGAAGUUCAGACAUGAGACAUGCAUCGAAACCAAGGAAAAGGGCCAAGAAAGAAAUAAUGAUGGCAACUUUUCCCCAAUCAGAGGCUAAUAAUUGCAGAGGGAAAGAGAGGCGGAGGGGGAGAUCCCCAAUGAGAAGAAGCUGCGAUGUGCGCGCGACUGCAUGCACAAGCAUGCAGUCACGCCCCCUCAUCAUUACACCAAUCUGCAUCUCAUGCAGUUUAUACGCAUGCCACCAAAAAAGAGAUCCAUCCAUCACCCAAACAACGCACAGAGAAAAAAAAAGACAAACAGUUCGAGAGAGAGGAGGAAGAUGA
rnacentral:rRNA from 1 species